GCAAAAUAAAUUAUGUACAGCAGCAUCAAUACAAUAGAAAAGAAGAUGUCAGUCCAACAUUUUGCAAAAAAAGAUUGCCAUAUCUUUCCCCCAUCAGCAGUCCAUCUCGUGGAGACACCAAAUCCUUCAAAAGAAAGCACAACUUCAGGUGAUGAAGUAAAAUAAUAAAUUGAGCAGAACUUUUUGCACAUCAAAAUGCAUCAGUCAAUGUCAAAGAAACUAAUACUUACCAUUGUCAUCCACCUUAACAUAGCAGGUCCCAAUGCCUAUAAUAACUGAUACCGAAUGGGAAGUGGAAACUAGGUUAAAGUUCAAACUAAGAGUAGACAACUUAAAAGAAUAACAAACAUAAAAAGAAUAGUCCUAUAAGGAAGUAAAUCUCAUGGAAAAAGGAAAUAAGAGUUCGGAUAUAAGAAUAUUCAUUUGGAAAAAAAUUAUGAUACUAGAUUGGAGCAUCAUACUAAUAGGAGAAAAAUUAGUUUCAAAUUUUCAUGUAAAGCAUAUGCCCUCAACAUCAGAAGUAGCAAACGAAGGAACAUAAGAAUUCAUUGAAGAGCCUCACCGGUCACUGCCUUUUGUGCAACUAGUCUAAGCAAUUAAAAUUGCAUAAUAGCACAACUUGCCAUAUUCCCAGCAGCUCGCCUCUAUUGAUCCUCAAAACAUUAAUAAAAUCUGAAAACAUAUAAUUCC
rnacentral:lncRNA from 1 species